rnacentral:rRNA from 1 species
GAGUCCCUACGGGAGGCAGCAGUGGGGGAUAUUGCACAAUGGGGGGAACCCUGAUGCAGCGACGCCGCGUGGGUGAAGAAGCGGUUCGGCGCGUAAAUCCCUGUCAGCAGGGAAGAAGAAGGACGGUACCUGACCAAGAAGCCCCGGCUAACUACGUGCCAGCAGCCGCGGUAAUACGUAGGGGGUAAGCGUUAUCCGGAUUUACUGGGUGUAAAGGGGGCGCAGACGGCGAUGCAAGCCAGGAGUGAAAGCCCGGGGCCCAACCCCGGGACUGCUCUUGGAACUGCGUGGCGGGGGGGCAGGAG